rnacentral:rRNA from 1 species
GUGUCAGCCGCCGCGGUAAUACGGAGGAUGCAAGCGUUAUCCGGAUUUAUUGGGUUUGAAGGGUGCGUAGGCGGGAUAAUAAGUCAGAGGUGAAAUCUCCCGGCUUAACCGGGAAACUGUCUUUGAUACUGUUAUUCUUGAGUAUAGUUGAGGUGGGCGGAAUGUGUAAUGUAGCGGUGAAAUGCAUAGAUAUUACACAGAACACCGAUUGCGAAGGCAGCUCACUAAACUAAAACUGACGCUGAGGCACGAAAGCGUGGGUAGCGAACAGGAUUAGAUACCCUGGUAGUCCACGCCGUAAACGAUGAAUACUCGAUGUGUGCGACACAUUGUACGCGUCUGAGCGAAAGCAUUAAGUAUUCCACCUGGGGAGUACGACCGCAAGGUUGAAACUCAAAGGAAUUGACGGGG